rnacentral:guide_RNA from 1 species
AAACAACAUCGCAAUAUAUAGUCAAGAUAUAGAGGUAAUU